GAGUGUGGUAGGGGCAGAGGGAAUUCCCGGUGUAGCGGUGAAAUGCGUAGAUAUCGGGAAGAACACCAGUGGCGAAGGCGCUCUGCUGGGCCAUCACUGACGCUCAUGGACGAAAGCCAGGGGAGCGAAAGGGAUUAGAUACCCCUGUAGUCCUGGCCGUAAACGAUGAACACUAGGUGUCGGGGGAAUCGACCCCCUCGGUGUCGUAGCCAACGCGUUAAGUGUUCCGCCUGGGGAGUACGCACGCAAGUGUGAAACUCAAAGGAAUUGACGGGGGCCCGCACAAGCGGUGGAGUAUGUGGUUUAAUUCGAUGCAACGCGAAGAACCUUACCAGGGUUUGACAUCCUGCGAACCUCUUGGAAACGAGAGGGUGCCUUCGGGAACGCAGUGACAGGUGGUGCAUGGCUGUCGUCAGCUCGUGUCGUGAGAUGUUGGGUUAAGUCCCGCAACGAGCGCAACCCACGUCUUUAGUUGCCAGCAUUUAGUUGGGCACUCUAGAGAGACCGCCGGUGAUAAACCGGAGGAAGGUGUGGAUGACGUCAAGUCAUCAUGCCCCUUACAUCCUGGGCUACACACGUACUACAAUGCUACGGACAAAGGGCAGCAAGUUCGCGAGGACAAGCAAAUCCCAUAAACCGUGGCUCAGUUCAGAUCGUAGGCUGCAACUCGCCUACGUGAAGGAGGAAUCGCUAGUAAUCGCAGGUCAGCAUACUGCGGUGAAUACGUUCCCGGGCCUUGUACACACCGCCCGUCACACCAUGGAAGUUGGCCACGCCCGAAGCCGUUACUCCAACCCUUGUGGAGGAGGACGUCGAAGGUGGGGCUGAUGACUGGGGUGAAGUCGUAACAAGGU
rnacentral:rRNA from 1 species